CUUUAACAAUCCGGAACAAGCUGAAAAUUGAAAAAUCUUCAAUAGCGCAAGUUAUUGAGGGUUCUCUCAAAUACUUACAACCGACUCAGGUCA
rnacentral:sRNA from 1 species